AGCAGCCGCGGUAAUUCCAGCUCCAAUAGCGUAUAUUAAAGUUGUUGCAGUUAAAAAGCUCGUAGUUGAAUUUCGGGGUUCUACCGUUGGUCGGGCUAUAGUCUGUACUGGCGUGUGGAAUUUCUACCUUCUGGGGAACUAUCAUGUUAUUAAUUUAGCGUGGUAGGAAACCAGAACCUUUACCUUGAAAAAAUUAGAGUGUUCAAAGCAGGCUUACGUCUGAAUACAUUAGCAUGGAAUAAUAAAAUAGGACGGUGGUCCUGUUUUGUUGGUUUCUGAAUCACCGUAAUGAUUAAUAGGGAUAGUUGGGGGCAUUAGUAUUCAAUUGUCAGAGGUGAAAUUCUUGGAUUUAUUGAAGACUAACUUCUGCGAAAGCAUUUGCCAAGGAUGUUUUCAUUAAUCAAGAACGAAAGUUAGGGGAUCGAAGACGAUCAGAUACCGUCGUAGUCUUAACCAUAAACUAUGCCGACUAGGAAUCG
rnacentral:sRNA from 1 species